GACAUAUUGUUCUAUAAAGAAUCUACGAAAUGAAACAAUUGUCCGUAUAGAUUCAGGCAGUUUUAUCUCAGAUAGCUUAGUGAAGAUUGCCUCCACGCCGGUCUCUGGAUGGAUACAAGCAUGUUGUCGAUGUAGAAUACUGUCCACCUCUUUCAUCAGACGGAGCUCAUUUCCCUCCAGAAGCUGCUAAAGCCAAGGAGGCCGCACAAAGCUCGCCGAGCCCUCAGAACACACUUGAGUAUCAUGAAAUCGUGGAAGAGGAAAUGAUCCGCGGUCUGCAG